UCUCUUUGGGUGAUUGACACUUUGUCUAGCCAAUCUGCUCUCUUUCCCGCACUCCUGGUUCUAUAAGGGUUGCAGGCCCAUUGCAAUCUGUAAGCUUUUUUGGCAUGGGGAGAAGAGGGAAAGGUCUAUCUUUUAGGAGGUCUGCUAUAUCUAGUACCAGGGGGUAGCCUUAAUUUUGCUUCUAGUUUCUAGAUGUUGCUAGAAUAUGUGUAACAAUGAGGCUGCUUCCUGGAAACUUACCCCCAGCCACAAAUCCACUUGUCAGCAUCCUUUGCACGCUGGGGGAAACAGAAGGGGAACAGACUUCCUGUCUCAGAGAAUUUACACACCAAGAAACAGACACACCGGUUCCAACUCCUCUUGCUGCCCGGAAACGGCAUUUGUGAUGCUUAACUGGCUGCAUGGUGCUCAAUAACUCCAGAAGCUGAGCUCCUCAAAGUACAGUGAUACAGAGCAGCGUGUGGAUGGAUGGACAGGGAGAGCAGUGUGUGUUUGGGGAAGGAUAGAUAGUGAGUGAGUGACAGGGCUUCUUCCUGUGGACUUGCUCACUAAGGACCAACAUUUUGGAUUUAAAGCCAUUUUGGCUGGGAGACGAUGCCACCGGCUGCUGCUUAUGGCUCAUGGAUUUCAGGAGAUUUACACCGCGACUGGAGAGAGAACAGUGGUAGGAGCUGUGAGGCCAAUUCCUAUAUUUGAAUUCAGCUGAGAUCUUUUAGAACGCUAGGACCAACGUGAGACCAGCACUUCAGAAGGUAUGUCUGCUUAAAAUCUCUAACUCUUUGGAGAGGAGUGGAAUGAUUGGGUAGAGCACUGGAUUUGGAUUUGCGACACCUGGGUUCCUUUCCCAAUCUGUCAUUGACCCUGUAUGAUCUUGGGCAAAUCACUUCACCUUCCCUGCCUCCAUUCCCCUUGCAUAUUUAGACUGGAAUUUUCAAGGGAACAUAGAGUGGAGUGAAGAGCCCAGAUGGCUCUGGAAUUUCAGGCUCCUUUGAAAACCUGGGUUUAGAUUGCAAUGAAUUUUGGGGCAGGGACUAUCUCUUCCUAUGUUUAUAUACAGUGCCAAGUACUAUAGGACCAUGAUCUAGGUUGGGCCCUAUGGGUGCUACCAGUAUAAUAAUAACUAGGCUCUGCUUUAAUAAUAUCAAUAAAAUGGUCCCCCAGGGGUAUAAAAUGAUAUAACUUCAUGGAAGUGCAUGGAAUGACCAGCUGAGGCCCAAUGCAUUUCAAUCAACUGUUGAGCCUAAUGAGAAGUUGUCCUGAAUCUGUCUUUUCUCACAGGAGUGCCAGUGUGCUUAGGUUUUUGAAAGGAGGUGUGUCAUUGUGGAGCCCCAGAUAUCCAGUAACACAGUGAUACACAACCGUACCAAAUGUCCUUUACCUCAUCUCUAGCUGGGCACCGCAACGUCUUUACUUUUUAGAGACUGAUGCAAAGAAUUCAAGCUAUAGAUAGAAUCCGUCUUUCUUUCUUUCUUUCUUUCUUUCUUUCUUUCUUUCUUUCUUUCUUUCUCCACUAUUUCUGAGUCCACAACCCUGAAAACUUUAGGAAGAAAUAGCCUCCAUGGGGCGUCAUUCCAUAGUCGUCCACUGGGGGUCACUCUUGCACCUCUCAGAAGCAGCUGGCGCUAGCUGUUGCUGGUGAUGAAUUACUAGACAAGACUGGCCCGGUAGCUCCUUUAUUCCUACGCAUCAGUAUAAUUAUUAUAUGAUGUCUCCUCAGUGAUCUUUGUAUUCAGCAAGACACAGUUAUUGUCUUCUGUUCCGGUAUCUGAGUGUCUCAAAUGUUUCAUCUCUGAGCUUUCAGCUUGAUAAACCGUUCAGAGUAAAUUAUAUUGACCUUAAAAUAGUGACUUUAAGGGAAAUUCACCUUCCUGUUUCUACUCAGUUCUUCUUUCCCAUUUCAAAGAUUUCUGAUCGUCGAUGGCAUUUUUAUCCAGCGGACAAAGGCAGGACACCAUUCAAAGGCUAGAGGAUGAAGCUAGACAAAUGGAGACGAGACAUACGACUGUUGAAUUUCAAAGAAGCCUGAGUUGGAAGUGAGUUGGAAGCCAAGUGCCUACGCAGUUGUGUGUCUGCUUCCCUUUAAGGUUCGCGUGGUUGGGUGCGGCACUUACGGAAAACUUAAAUGACUUUUAAAGAAGAGUUUUGUGGCAGUACAUGGGAAAUACCCGUCACUCGCCAAAGCGGCCCUCUGCGAGCGGUUCCAUAGCCGGAGAAUGGCCCGGGGGCUCCGUGUGAAAUGUGUCAGAGCUGAAGGACAUGCCCUGGCGAGCUGGGAAGAAAUCCUCUCUCACCAUCCUGCAGAGCGAGGAGCGGAUGGGAGGCAAGAGGCAUUAAAGCCCUGAGAAGCGGCUUCCCCUUUUUCUGCCACUCCUUGCUCGUGUCUCUCCGGGCGCAGGAACAGGCGGCGGGGUCCCCGGCUGUCAGCGGGCGGAGCUGCAGGGGGACCUGGUUCUUGGCGGGGUCUGCAGAGAUGGUGACUCGGCCCUGGAGAGACGGGGCGUAGUUUGCCCCCCUGCUCUAUGGAUAUGCCCGUCCCGUCCACUCCUGCCCUUGUGGACUGCCAGAUCCAGUGCCAGAAAUAAUACUGAGCAGAGCUGGAGACCCCGGAGACAACGCAGCUCAGGGUGAGGGUCUCUCCAGGCUUCACCGCCCUCGGGCCGGACUGGACCAGCUGCACCCGAGAGAGGACACCUGGGAAAAGGAGAAAAAGGCAAAGAUAAUAUUAGCCAGUGAACAAAUCCGUGGGUCUGUCCCUAGUUCCCCCACUGUCCCAUAGACACUCACAGUUGAAGGCAGAGAACAGGGAAACGAAAAGCAACAGAGAUGGCAGUCUCGUUUCCAGGGAAAGAGAGAAACUCCCCAGCGGGCAGGAACGAGCAGGUCUGUGUCUGGGGGGAGACUGAGGCGCCUGCAACGAGAGGUUUGUGUUUAAAGAGGACCCCCCCCCCGUCGGCAGAGAUUUGCAUGUGUAUUUCUUAGAGUGGGUCUAAGAGAUGAGGGGGGUGAGCGCUCAGCACAUGGCGUUGUCCCCUCGGGGACAGGGGUCCCCUUUACACCCCAGAGAGACCGGGCGCUCAGCUCAGCCCACCUGUAGUGACAGAAGGUGGCUGGGAGGGUCCAGGGCCCUGGACUGGGACCGAAGUGAACUCCAUAGGCUAAAGAUUGGCAUGUGGGUGUCACCCAGGGAGGAUAAACUCCCAGGGAGACAAGGCAGUGCUGGGUAGGAGAGUCCUACAUCGCUUUCCUCUCUGAGCAAGUGACUGUCUCGCCAACACAGAAGUGGCUAUUGCCAAAUGUGCUGGUUAAAUAAAAUAAAUACAAAUAGUCCCUGGGAAAGGCCAAGGCAGAUGAGACGCUCCUAGGAAUGUGAGAUCGGGAGGAGACGGAGCUGCAGGAAAAGGGUGGUUUUAGGUAGCAGAACCCAACAUACCCCUGCAAUGAAUGG